rnacentral:rRNA from 2 species
GGGUGAGUAACACGUGGGCAACCUGCCCUGCAGAUCGGGAUAACUCCGGGAAACCGGUGCUAAUACCGAAUAGUUUGCGGCCUCUCCUGAGGCUGUACGGAAAGACGGUUUCGGCUGUCACUGCAGGAUGGGCCCGCGGCGCAUUAGCUAGUUGGUGGGGUAAUGGCCUACCAAGGCGACGAUGCGUAGCCGACCUGAGAGGGUGAUCGGCCACACUGGGACUGAAACACGGCCCAGACUCCUACGGGAGGCAGCAGUAGGGAAUCUUCCGCAAUGGACGAAAGUCUGACGGAACAACGCCGCGUGAGUGACGAAGGUUUUCGGAUCGUAAAACUCUGUUGUGAGGGAAGAACAAGUACCAAGUAACUACUGGUACCUUGACGGUACCUCACCAGAAAGCCACGGCUAACUACGUGCCAGCAGCCGCGGUAAUACGUAGGUGGCAAGCGUUGUCCGGAAUUAUUGGGCGUAAAGCGCGCGCAGGCGGUUCCUUAAGUCCGAUGUGAAAGCCCACGGCUCAACCGUGGAGGGUCAUUGGAAACUGGGGAACUUGAGUGCAGAAGAAGAAAGUGGAAUUCCAUGUGUAGCGGUGAAAUGCGUAGAGAUGUGGAGGAACACCAGUGGCGAAGGCGACUUUCUGGUCUGUAACUGACGCUGAGGCGCGAAAGCGUGGGGAGCAAACAGGAUUAGAUACCCUGGUAGUCCACGCCGUAAACGAUGAGUGCUAAGUGUUAGGGGGUUUCCGCCCCUUAGUGCUGCAGCUAACGCAUUAAGCACUCCGCCUGGGGAGU